UGAGAUGUAAAGCUAGGGAAGUUCGAGAAAACAACUGAGAUUUGGAUCCGGUUGUGAACUAUGUCAUUAAAUUGAUGCUUCGACACAGUAUUUCGCAAGAUUUCUUUCUUCAGCAAGGCAGCAGUGACUUCUGCAAGAAGUUCGAUCCACAGAAUUAUUGAUAGUUUUAUUUUUUUAGUAGAGUGUAGUAUGUACUCAUGACCUCUUUAGAGAAACACAUGAAAGAUUUUGUCUUUGUAUGUCAUCCUUGUCAUUGUCCCUAUACUAG
rnacentral:lncRNA from 1 species